rnacentral:rRNA from 1 species
AUCGAACGCUGGCGGCAGGCCUAACACAUGCAAGUCGAGCGGAUGAAGGCAGCUUGCUCCUGGAUUCAGCGGCGGACGGGUGAGUAAUGCCUAGGAAUCUGCCUGGUAGUGGGGGAUAACGUCCGGAAACGGGCGCUAAUACCGCAUACGUCCUGAGGGAGAAAGUGGGGGAUCUUCGGACCUCACGCUAUCAGAUGAGCCUAGGUCGGAUUAGCUAGUUGGUGGGGUAAAGGCCUACCAAGGCGACGAUCCGUAACUGGUCUGAGAGGAUGAUCAGUCACACUGGAACUGAGACACGGUCCAGACUCCUACGGGAGGCAGCAGUGGGGAAUAUUGGACAAUGGGCGAAAGCCUGAUCCAGCCAUGCCGCGUGUGUGAAGAAGGUCUUCGGAUUGUAAAGCACUUUAAGUUGGGAGGAAGGGCAGUAAGUUAAUACCUUGCUGUUUUGACGUUACCAACAGAAUAAGCACCGGCUAACUUCGUG